GACGAACGCUGGCGGCGUGCUUAACACAUGCAAGUCGAGAGGAGCGGCGAACGGGUGAGUAACGCGUGAGUAACCGCCCCCCUCUCUGGGAUAACAGUUGGAAACGGCUGCAACUACCGGAUAGUGGGGGAUGACGCGCGUCCUAUUAGCUGUUUGGUGGUGUAGUGGCCUACCGAGGCGACGACGGGUUGCCGCCCUGAGCGGGCGACCGGCCACAUUGGGCUGAGAUCCGGCCCAAGCUGCUACGGGGGGCAGCGGGGGGGAAUAUUGCACAGUGGGUGAGACCCUGAUGCAGCACCGCCGCGUGGGGAAUGACGGCCUUGGGGUUGUAAAGCUCUCCUUGCAAGGGUCGGGUAGGUGGUGAAGAAGCGCCGGCUAACGACGUGCCAGCAGGCGCGGUAAUUC
rnacentral:rRNA from 1 species